rnacentral:tRNA from 1 species
AUUAUUUUGGCAGAUUAGUGCAUUAAAUUUAGAAUUUAAUUAUAUAGGUUUACUCUAUAAAUAA